rnacentral:rRNA from 1 species
UGCGUAGGUGGUUGGUUAAGUUUGAGGUGAAAGCUCCGAGCUCAACUCGGAAAAUGCCUUGAAGACUAUCUGACUAGAGGAUUGGAGGGGAGAUUGGAAUUCUCGGUGUAGCAGUGAAAUGCGUAGAUAUCGAGAGGAACACCAGUGGCGAAGGCGAAUCUCUGGACAAUUCCUGACACUGAGGCACGAAAGCCAAGGGGGCAAACG